GUCCUCGGUGCAGGGACUGCCGCCAGCCUGAGGGGCACGGGGCAGCAGCGCCUGGCCUGGCGCCUGGGGGACAGGGGAUGUGGAUCAGCCACCCAGAUAUUUUAUAUAUAAAUAAUGUAUUUAAUAUCCUGGUACUGCACGGAAUUGCUGCUGGGGAGCAGUGCCAGCCCAACAGUGACCGCGUGCAGCAAAGCCCACGAGGAGCAGCGUGCCGACAGACACUGCCAGCCAUGGCCCAACGACCGUGGAGAAGGGCAGGGCUGAAGCACCCUUCCCUAGUGGCUCUGGUAGUCUUGCUGGCCCUGGCCCUGCUGGCACUCUCCUACCUUCCCUCACCACCGAAUGGGGACCAUGGCCGGGCCCCUUCACCCCAUGUGGCACCAGCACCGCCAGCACCCGCAUCGCUCCUGCUGGCACCCCGGCCCCAGCGAGAUGUGGCCAUCACCCCAUGUGGGGACAAGCCCCCCAACCGGGAGACAAAAAGACAGAGGGGGAAAGGACGGCGGCUGAGGGGGCAGCGUGCCCCAACGCCUUCUCCUUGUGUGGAUCAUCCAUGCAGGCAGGGCGGCUCACCUCAGGAGGACAGGCUGUGUUUUGGUGAGACAGUCCCACCAUGGCUCUCAGAGGAUGACAUCCAGAAGAUGAAGCUGCUGGCCCAUGGCCAAGUAGUCUCCAAAAGCCGUGUGCCAGCCCAUGGGCAGGUCCUGCGCAUCCGCCUGCAUGCCGAUGGUGACACCCAGCCUACCAGUCCAGGGGAGGACUGUGGGGAUGGGCGCUGUGGGCUCAUCAAGCGCUCCACGGACCUCUAUGAGGUGGUGGCCUUCCACCUGGACAGGGUUUUGGGGCUGAACAGGAGCCUGCCUGCAGUGGCCCGCCGCUUCUCCAGCCCCAUUCUACCCUACAGCUACACUAAUGGUGCCUCCCGGCCCCUCAUUUGGUGGGCACCUGAUGUCCAGCACCUGGAGGACACCAACAAUGACCAGAACUCCUGUGCCCUGGGGUGGCUGCAGUACCAGGAGAUGCUGCGGUCCCACAGUGUGGCCCCAGUGGCAGGAGGCACAGCCUGUGCAAGCAUCCAGCGUGGUGAGUGGGGUCGCUUGGCGCUCUUCGACUUCCUCCUGCAGGUUCAUGACCGUCUGGACCGAUAUUGCUGUGGAUUCGAGCCCGAUGCCUUCGAGCCCUGUGUGGAAGAGAUGCUCCAUGAGAAGUGUCGAAACCCAUCCGAGUUGUUCCUGGUGCACAUCCUGGUCCGGAAGAGCGCUCCAUCCCGGCUGGUGUUCAUCGACAACGCAGGUCGGCCACAGCAACCAGAAGCAAAGCUCAACUUCAGGCUGCUGCAGGGCAUAGACAGCUUCCCGGAGACAGCUGUGGCCGUGCUGAGGUCAGGCUGCCUGGCCCACAGGCUGCUGAAAUCGCUGUACACAGACCAGGAGCUCUGGGAGAGCCAGGGAGGUGCUGUGGGGCUGUGGCCUCUGCUGCAGGUCCUGGAGAGGCGGGGACAAAUCCUGCUGCGGUACCUCCAGGAGCACAACCUGACUGUGGUGAGGGACACCCUGCACUGAGCCCCACAGUGACAGGGCGACCUCGUGCCCUCAGCAUCUGCAAUGUGAAACUGCAGACAUUACGUUUGGAACAACCAUUGCCAGUGCUACUGGGAGGCCGAAAGUGCCUCUUUGGGAGUGAAGAAUCAGUGACUUGCUGGUUUCCUCCCUCUAUGAAAACACCACCAUUAAAUCAAUUUGUUUUAUUAAAAAGGCAACGUCUUCAGAGAACCACAGUGCCCUUGGUUAGCUAUCUCACCUGGAUUUAUUUUUCAGCAAAGAACUCAGCAAGGCCUUUGCAGAUGUGGCCGUCGGCUUUGACCCAUGCAGGUGCUCUCACAGGUGUCGUCAGCAUCUCCUGUCAGGCUGCAGGAGCAAACUGCAGGGGGAGGUGUCCCUGCUUUGACACACCUGUGAAGGGUGAGGAGAUGGGGGUCCUCACAAGAUGCUGAGAGGGAGAUGCUUCGGGUUCUGGCCAGGGCUCCACAAAGGCGGAUGAGGUGCCCGGUGCACAGCUCCCGCAGCUGAGUGCAACAAAGCAAGUUUUUAAAUGCUGUCCUCAUAGGGAGGUGUUUACCUCUCACCAGCCUUCCUCACCCCUGCUCUGUUCCCAAGACUCACUGGCUGGGGGAGCCUGGCCAGACCCCGCACCAAAGGAUGCGGGGCGCUGAGGCCCAAAAAAAGAGCAGGAUGGGGUCAUUCCAACACAACCUUACUGGAGAUCGGGGAGCCACGACCAAGGUUGGCUUUGUCCAAAUAUCCCUGAUGAGAUCCCUCACCAGCAGCCCUGCUGAUGAGCGCAUUCAUUUCUCCCUUCAUUCUCUGCAAAAGCAGAGACUUUCAAAACGAAGCACUGCUGAGAAAAAAAUAUCAUUGGUCUCCUGAGACACAAAUCACAGCUACAACCCCAUGUCAGGAGUACGGAAACAGUCUUACUAUGUGCUGUAGGAGGCUUGACAAGUGGGAAAAUAUUUCUCAGCUGAGCGUUCUCCCUCCAGUCUGGAUUAAUAGCUUGGCUCCAGUUUUAGGUAGAAAUUUCCCCCCUCCCUGUAACAAAUACAUUUUAAAAUGCAAGUAGCCAGAGAGACAAAGUAUCUGCUGGCUGGCUGUUCUGGGCUGCAUUCCUUCCCUACAUAAAGCAUUCCUCUUUUAAAAGCUAUUCAGAUCUUCACGGCUCUUCUUCUUCAGACCUUACAGCGGUGCCUGCACUGGAAUAUGCGGGGAAUUCAGACUUCAAGGCGUAGCUUAGUGUAUGGAUUGGAUCAGCUGGAGCCGUGUCUGAGGAGUCGCCAGUGUGAGCCACCGCCCUGUGCCAGCCCCGAGCAUCACCUCAGAGUCUGCUGGGACACAGCUUGAGGAGCCCAAGCAGCAGUCCCUUCCUCUGAAGCCUUGGCAUUGCAGAUGGGAUUCCUUCCACAGCUGAACUGGAAAAUUAAUUAUCCCAGUUAGGGAGCUUUAAGGUUAAGUCACAAAUGGAUCCCUUUCACGGACAGUUUCCAAUAUGCCCCUCUGCUGAGAGCCAUUUUAAAUGAGGCGAUGCUCAGAGAGUAUCACACACUGCAGAGCCCUGCCUGGACCCAGCCCAGCAAGUCUGGCUGUGCCCGUGUGCAUUGCACGGCUUUCUGCUUUGGUCUUCUUCCCAGUGAGCAGUUGUAUUCAAGGGACAGAUUUUUGUUUAUUCCUCUGCAACCUGCAUGGUUAUUUACAUGAAUGCAAAGAGUGUGACAAAAGCUAUCAAGCCAGAAAAGGAAAAGAAAAAAAAAAAAAAAGAAAGAAAGAAAUGCUGCCUGGUGCUGCAAUUGGAUGCACUGAGUCCACCGGCUUGCAUUGUGGCAGGUCUUGGCAUUUUGCUCCUGAAAUUGAUGCUUCCACGCUGUUGGUUACUCUUUCAGAAGGAUUAGUGAGAUGAUAUGGGACUGGCCUUUCAGGGCUCCCUCCGCCAAGCAGAGAGAAUUUCCAAAUGAGUCACUCAUCUGGCCCAGAGCAGCACAAACUGAGGGGCACUACUGCUGUGCGUGUGUAAUUUUCUUCUUUCCCCCCCUGAAACAUGACUGCUUUAAAAGGCAACU